rnacentral:lncRNA from 1 species
UUGAAACAAAUGAACUCAUAUUCGUUUCUUCAUGAUACUCAACACUUCUAUCGCUUCUGUUGACUAAGUAAGGUUCUUUUUAUUAGUCUUCAUGCACACUUUGCCUCCUAACCUCUAUUUUUUCGAUCUCUAACCACACAACCUGUCAUCUACCACUGAAUAAUGCAUCCCGAAACCUUUCUGAUUAACAACUGCCACAGCUCCUUCUCGUUCAUAGAGUUGGGGAAAUUAGAAAAAUGAAAAGUAUAACAAAAUAUGAUCCAUUGAUUUACACGAUCUACUAAACUUCCUUCCUUCUCUUAAUUGAUCGAUCUUUGUAGAAGAAAUUUGCCAUCCUCCCUCCUGGUUGCACUGUUUCUUACCUGAUUGAAAUCUUUUCAUAAAGAUUCCCCUGUUAUUGGAUUGAAGAAAGCUCACUCAUACUCCUAAUAACACCUAUCAAAUUCCCCUGAAGCAAUCUGGUAAGCCUCCUGAUGAAACAUGAAACUUCUGUAUAUAUAACUUCCUCUUUCCAACAGAAUUAGCCAUAGAAACACAGUAGUCCUACGUAUUGGGUACAGAAACGAUUGAAAUAAUAUUAAAACUGGAAUUNNNNNNNNNNNNNNNNNNNUAAUAGGAGACACUGAAAAUGGUGUGCUAUAAUAAACAAAUCAAUGAAACACGUUGCUAUUUCUUGCAUUUAAACCUUAAGAGUCAGUCAAAGAUGGUAUUCAUGAGCAUUCAAACCUUGAAAAUGAAUCAAAGCACGCAUAUAGGCACACAAGUCCCUGGUCUAUUGCAUAGAAUCUGUGAAAAGAAUUUAGCAUGCUCUUCAAAGUUAUUGAAACAAAGAAACAAACAAGACUAAAUUACAAAAAUCGUCUCUAUGUUAUAUUACUUUUUAUGCGUAUGGUCAAGUCGAUGGAUUUAAUGGACGGGCAACCAGGGACUAAAAGUGUGACCAAAUGUUGGUUUAGGGAUGGAAAAGGUAAAUGAUGAAACUAUCAGACCAUAUCGAUCGCAUUUUCAACUUAUUUUGUUAUUAGGACAUAAUACUUUGAAGAAUCUAUCCAAUUAUAAUAGUGAAACUUGCAUUGUAUCGGGAUGAUAUUGCUACAAUUAAUAGGUUUUCAAAGUAUAUUGCGGUAAUACGCAUGAAUGAAAUUAGGAUGCUAUUAGAAAACAGAUCAAAAUUUUGUUUCUUAGAUUUAGCCCUAAUUAGUAAAAUGAAAAACUUGAAUUGUUUGAGAUAUAAACAAGAUACAAAUUACACAUACUCGACAUUUUAAAAUGAACAGGUUACAACACAUUAAAUAACAAUGUGAUAUGCAUUUAUACCACUUAUCAAUUGGUGAGUCCUCAAAGACACAUUCUUUCUGAACAUCAAUGCUAUAACUAACUGUUACAUUUUUCAAAGUAAAAUGCCCUAAGAAAGAAACGGAAGUACCUUGCUAUCAUCAUAAAACCAAAGUCAUUUGAAGUUGCUAAAAGGUUUGGUAUGUAUAAAUAGUCCCGUGCUUCAUUAGAAGAAUUGGAACUUACCAGUGGAUUUACAAGAAGGAAUUGAGAUUAUAGAAAACAUUACAUAAAUAGUCCCAUGCAUCAUUGGAAGUCAUAUAUAGGUUAAAUCAUUAACUUUUUUCCUUGAUGAAAAUGGUCUUUGUGGUUUCAAUUCCUUACAUGGUUUGUUUCUAAUCCAUAUAAAAUGAUAUCUAUAUAUACCAUUUUAAUAGAUUUAUCUUUUUUUUUUUACUUAAUUUUAUUUUUUAAUAUGUUAACAUUGAGGGACCCACCAUACCAAACAGUUCACACACCUAUGUUCACCAGAAAGAUUACCAAAGUUAUAUUCAAGCUUAGAAAAUUACAAGAAAUUAAGGUUGUAUACAACAGUAAGAAUAAAAAAAAAAACUCCAACAAGAAAGAAACUAUCUCUUUUCUGAUCAUUUUGAGGUCUCUAAAAAUCUGAAAGCUGCAUAACUUUCAGAUUAUUGGGUUCAUCGGUAACAGAAUAUCUAAAAUUUGUUGUAGAAUAAUUUGUAUCACAAUAAAAGUGGUGCAUCAAGUUGCAGGUAUAAUUAUCUUAUUCCACUUACUAAAAGCAUGGAAAUGGAAUAUUUGGUUUAUAAAAAGAGUCCCAGAAGAAUAUACUAUAUAGCUCAGAUAAAAAUCUCCCCAAUCACCUGGAUAGACAAUACCAUAUGAACCAAUGUAAAAAACAGCAUAAGCAUUUCAUCAAAUACCUUGACUACGUGAUGUAAGAUGACCACAUUCGCCAAAAAAACACAAUGAAAGAAGGAAAAUUUUAGGAACAUAAUCAAGUAUAACAUUCUAAAGAUUGAGAACUGAAUUAAAAAAACAUCAUCAUAAUAAUAAUAAUGAAAUAAACCAAAACAAAGACAAUGUAACUUGAAAGAUUUAUAUAAAGCUCUGUUAUAUCUACUGACGGAAUAAGAAAUUGAGGAGGAGGAUGAUGGAAGUACAAGAUCUAACCAUGACAAAUGAACAAUGAGCGUUGGUUUGGAGAUGUUUCUGUCUAAUUUCCAAUACGGGUGAUUUUAAGAAGGCCUUCGAACACCUCACAUUAUUUCUUAUUCAAAUUUUGAUCCGGAAUGUCUAAUAAAGAUACCAUGGAAAGAUGAUCCGUUAGAAACAAUAAAUGUGGCUCUCGGAGCAGCGCGGUGGAGCAACUGAGCGCAAUAUGAAGCAUUGCCCUCGACCACUACCAGAAGUCAGGAAUUGAGUUUGAUUGUGCUUCUAGCCCUUGAACAUCGCUAUCUGAAAUUGGGAAUUGGGGACGAAUUUCAGGGAGAAAUUAGAAUUGAAGCAACGUCAGAAUGUGGGAUCGUGGAAAAAUAUACUUCACCUGUGUGAGAGCGAGGCGAGAGUGUUGCCGAUUCAACAAUGUUGUAACAUGAUAUUCAUUAUUUAGUAGGUUUGGUUCACGAUUAUUUUGGAUGGAAUUUGAAUUUG